AAAUAUGAAGCAAUUUGCAAUUAGUUUCGACCUAUAGUAUGAUAAUAAUUUAUCCAUAUUUA
rnacentral:tRNA from 1 species